AUGCACGCUGGCCGCGUGCCUCAUACAUUCAAGUCGAGCGAACGGACGAGAAGCUUGCUUCUCUGAUGUUAGCGGCGGACGGGGGAGUAACACGUGGAUAACCUACCUAUAAGACUGGGAUAACUUCGGGAAACCGGAGCUAAUACCGGAUGAUAUUUUGAACCGCAUGGUUCAAAAGUGAAAGACGGUCUUGCUGUCACUUAUAGAUGGAUCCGCGCUGCAUUAGCUAGUUGGUAAGGUAACGGCUUACCAAGGCAACGAUGCAUAGCCGACCUGAGAGGGUGAUCGGCCACACUGGAACUGAGACACGGUCCAGACUCCUACGGGAGGCAGCAGUAGGGAAUCUUCCGCAAUGGGCGAAAGCCUGACGGAGCAACGCCGCGUGAGUGAUGAAGGUCUUCGGAUCGUAAAACUCUGUUAUUAGGGAAGAACAUAUGUGUAAGUAACUGUGCACAUCUUGACGGUACCUAAUCAGAAAGCCACGGCUAACUACGUG
rnacentral:rRNA from 1 species